UACGUAGGGGGCAAGCGUUGUCCGGAAUCAUUGGGCGUAAAGAGCGUGUAGGCGGUCCGGUUAGUCGGCUGUGAAAGUCCAGGGCUCAACCCUGGGAUGCCGGUCGAUACUGCCGGGCUAGAGUCCGGAAGAGGCAAGUGGAAUUCCCGGUGUAGCGGUGAAAUGCGCAGAUAUCGGGAGGAACACCAAUGGCGAAGGCAGCUUGCUGGGACGGUACUGACGCUGAGACGCGAAAGCGUGGGGAGCGAACAGG
rnacentral:rRNA from 1 species